rnacentral:rRNA from 1 species
UACGUAGGGUGCGAGCGUUAAUCGGAAUUACUGGGCGUAAAGCGUGCGCAGGCGGUUUUGUAAGCCAGAUGUGAAAUCCCCGGGCUUAACCUGGGAAUGGCAUUUGGGACUGCAGGGCUUGAGUGCGGCAGAGGAGACUGGAAUUCCUGGUGUAGCAGUGAAAUGCGUAGAUAUCAGGAGGAAUACCGAUGGCGAAGGCAGGUCUCUGGGCUGACACUGACGCUCAUGCACGAAAGCGUGGGGAGCAAACAGG